GUGUCUGUAGCUCAACCGGAUAGAGCAUCUGACUUCGGAUCAGAAGGUUGGGGGUUCGAAUCCCUCCAGGCACGCCA
rnacentral:tRNA from 1 species